rnacentral:rRNA from 1 species
GUGGGGAAUCUUCCGCAAUGGACGAAAGUCUGACGGAGCAACGCCGCGUGAACGAUGACGGCCUUCGGGUUGUAAAGUUCUGUUAUACGGGACGAAUGGUACGACGGCCAAUACCCGUCGUAAGUGACGGUACCGUAAGAGAAAGCCACGGCUAACUACGUGCCAGCAGCCGCGGUAAUACGUAGGUGGCAAGCGUUGUCCGGAAUUAUUGGGCGUAAAGGGCGCGCAGGCGGCGUCGUAAGUCGGUCUUAAAAGUGCGGGGCUUAACCCCGUGAGGGGACCGAAACUGCGAUGCUAGAGUAUCGGAGAGGAAAGCGGAAUUCCUAGUGUAGCGGUGAAAUGCGUAGAUAUUAGGAGGAACACCAGUGGCGAGAGCGGCUUUCUGGACGACAACUGACGCUGAGGCGCGAAAGCCAGGGGAGCAAACGGGAUUAGAUACCCGGGUAGUCC